UCUAAAAGCUGCAGGGCAGUAGCUCUCGAGGACUGGGAUUGGGCACCCCUGUUUUAGAGAAAGGCAAAAGACAGUGAGGUGCUGAUUUGCUUUAUUCUUUUUAGUUUGGGAAAUAUGCAUCUAUGUGUAAUCACGCGUUGGGUGAGCCGUUCAUUCCUGGGAAUUGAAACAUGUGGGACAUACUGCCAACUGAUGCAAAGGUGUUGAAGGUCAGUUCAAAGGAGAACAGAGUCCAUGUGAGCUCCUCAGUUUUAUUGUCUGAGAUUUCCUUCUCCACGGCCAACCGCUGAUAUUCUGCUGUGAGGUCACGGAGGUUUGCUGCCUGUACGUUCAUUAACAAACUCACUGUGAAUGAGAGAAGACAGCACAGCGCUCAUCAUCACAGCCGACCAACGAGUGUUAACAUCCAGUCCUAACAGAGAAGCCUUCUCUUCCUUUCUUCAUUGUGGGACGAAGCUGAAGACACCAAACACACUAAAACAUGGAUGUAUAGUAAAAUGUUGUUUGUUUGUUUUUAAACCACCAGUAGAUGGUAAUAAAUAGUAAAGAGGAAAAUUAGCAUCACAUUAAAAUCGGCACUCGAGGUACAAAAAGCUUUAGUUACAAUUAAUAAAAUGCAGUUUUGUAUUUUAGUGGGAAAGAGACAUUAAAAAAAAAUAUGGUUCAGGUUAUAUGGGGAAAAAAUUAAUUCUGUUUUUUUAAGCUACCAUUGUAAACAGCUUUGGAGGUUUUUCCACAUACAAUGAAUAUGUAAUGAGUACUUUUAACUAACUCAUCCACAAAUGUAACGGAGUUAAAAAGACAUCUGAAAAACAUGCACUUACCUGGUCUUAAUUAUUAUUUUAAGUGUGAAUUUUAUCAUUUUUGAUCUCACUCUAGCGUUUAGAAGCUUCCGCUCCUCACAGCGCGCGCUUGCACUGUGAGGGUCAGUUCCUUAAUGAAAGGCUCUGGCAUUUUUAUGGUUUCUGGUGUGAAUGUUGUUACAUAAGUUGUACAUGUCGAUGUAUAUAGGUUUAUAUUGAUGUUAGGAUGUUACUGUGUAACCGAAACAAAGGCUGGUUGCUGUUAAACAGUGUUUCUGCCGUAUUUAGUGGUUGCUGCGCAUAGCAGGAAAUGUGUUUGGAUUUACUGUUUUUCUGUGCUUUUUGUGAUGUUGUUUUACAUUGUAGGAGCUACAAUUGCUGGUACCAUCAGAAGACACCUGUUGAGUGUGUUUUAUGUCUUCUGCAGGUACGUGAGCUUGUUAACAGUCAUCUUGUCUGUAAAGCACAAGCAAGUGAAAAUGUAAUGCGCUACCGUUAAUUUG